rnacentral:tRNA from 1 species
GCAUUGGUUGUUCAGUGGUAGAAUUCUCACUUUCCAUGUGGGAGACCCAGGUUCGAUUCCCAGCCAAUGCA